rnacentral:tRNA from 1 species
GCCCCCUUAGCUCAGCGGAUAGAGCAACUGCCUUCUAAGCAGUGGGUCGCCCGUUCGAUUCGGGCAGGGGGCGCCA